rnacentral:tRNA from 3 species
GCGCGCUUAGCUCAGCGGUAGAGCACAUCCUUCACACGGAUGGGGUCGCAGGUUCGAACCCUGCAGCGCGCACCA